rnacentral:rRNA from 1 species
AAUAGAUACCCUGGUAGUCCACGCCGUAAACGAUGAGUGCUAAGUGUUAGGGGGUCUCCGCCCCUUAGUGCUGCAGCUAACGCAUUAAGCACUCCGCCUGGGGAGUACGGUCGCAAGACUGAAACUCAAAGGAAUUGACGGGGGCCCGCACAAGCGGUGGAGCAUGUGGUUUAAUUCGAAGCAACGCGAAGAACCUUACCAGGUCUUGACAUCCCAUUGACCACUAUGGAGACAUAGUUUUCCCUUCGGGGACAACGGUGACAGGUGGUGCAUGGUUGUCGUCAGCUCGUGUCGUGAGAUGUUGGGUUAAGUCCCGCAACGAGCGCAACCCUUGUUCUUAGUUGCCAUCAUUUAGUUGGGCACUCUAAGGAGACUGCCGGUGACAAACCGGAGGAAGGUGGGGAUGACGUCAAAUCAUCAUGCCCCUUAUGACCUGGGCUACACACGUGCUACAAUGGACGGUACAAACGGUUGCCAACCCGCGAGGGGGAGCUAAUCCGAUAAAACCGUUCUCAGUUCGGAUUGUAGGCUGCAACUCG